GUCCCUGUAGCUUAACAGACAAAGCAUGGCACUGAAGACGCCAAGACGGUCACCACAGAACACCCAAGGACA
rnacentral:tRNA from 1 species